rnacentral:lncRNA from 1 species
GCAGUUUUGGUUCUGGGAACAUGUCCAUGUUGAGGAAGGAAGCUAUAAGCUAAGUUACAGUAAUCGGUUACCACCUCUGAUGUCAUAUUGGAAUGAAAAAAAUGUCUCCUCAAGAAACAAAUAUGAUAUCAAGUAUGGACCAGGACAUGGAAAAGUAAGAUGUACUGACCAUCUCCGCUUUGAUUACUCUUUUUUUUCUCUAUUACACAUUAUGCAUACAGUAUGAUUAAGUUCUUUUCCACCACUGAAUCAGGUUGUGUUUGAAAUCCGAAUUCCUGAAGACAGCUCAGAAGAAUUCCACUCCCAAAAAGAACCGUAUGAAAAGUACUACCACAGUAUGCAGCAACCUUGUUCUGAUUGUCCAAACUCUACAUUUCAGAACGAAAGAUUUGAAACUCAACCGCGGAGGUACACAUUUGAGCAAGCAGAAUGUGGUCUGAACCCAUCAUUAAAUGAACUUCCCACACAGGUAAUUCUUUAAGGCUACCUACUGCAAAUUUAUUCAGUAAGAAUUUUAAUGAAUAGAGCAUUACCUUUGCAGGUAGCUAAACCUUUUAUCCUUUUUCCAGAUUUCAGCCCACUUCGAUCUCCUUAUGGAUCAGAUCCUGCAGUUACAGAGAAUCAUCCAAUUUGUUGACAACAAAUUGACCAUCAAACUACUGUCAAUUGAAAGUACGCUGGCAAAAAGUAGAAAAGAUAUUCAGGUCAUAAAUUCUAACAUUCGUAGUUGUUCAAUUUCAGUACAGUUCUUUCAUGACAACUUGAUAAAAUUUGAAACAUGCAGGAGCUUAAGUACUCGAUGAACAUGGCUACAAGAUCAAUCCCAGCUGAUGGAGUUGAUUGCAGUGAUGACAAUAUUUUCAAUGAAGAUAAUCUAAGAUGCAGUAUGCUGCAGGCUGAGAAAGAAAACAAUACUAUGGUGCCAACCUAUUUCUGACCCUAUUAUUUGUCAGCCUAUGAAACAAGAGAAACUAACCUUCUGUCCAUACAUUACAGUUUUCCAUUGAAAGUGAACACGCUGUAGGAUCGAAUAAGAUCAAACAAACCUACCAGAGGGGGGGUGAAUGGUAGGGAAAAACAAAACCCAAAAAUCUUUCGCGGAAUAAAGGAUUACCUCUGUCGAAGAAAUUGACGAAGACUUGCUACCUUGAUCACGUCGCUCCUGUGUCGCCGCUACCUUGAUCGCGCCGCUCAUGUGCCGC